rnacentral:rRNA from 1 species
AUUGAACGCUGGCGGCAGGCCUAACACAUGCAAGUCGAGCGGAAACGAGUUCACUGAACCUUCGGGGGACGUGAACGGCGUCGAGCGGCGGACGGGUGAGUAAUGCCUGGGAAAUUGCCCUGAUGUGGGGGAUAACCAUUGGAAACGAUGGCUAAUACCGCAUAAUAGCUUCGGCUCAAAGAGGGGGACCUUCGGGCCUCUCGCGUCAGGAUAUGCCCAGGUGGGAUUAGCUAGUUGGUGAGGUAAGGGCUCACCAAGGCAACGAUCCCUAGCUGGUCUGAGAGGAUGAUCAGCCACACUGGAACUGAGACACGGUCCAGACUCCUACGGGAGGCAGCAGUGGGGAAUAUUGCACAAUGGGCGCAAGCCUGAUGCAGCCAUGCCGCGUGUAUGAAGAAGGCCUUCGGGUUGUAAAGUACUUUCAGCAGUGAGGAAGGUUCAUACGUUAAUAGCGUAUGGAUUUGACGUUAGCUGCAGAAGAAGCACCGGCUAACUCCGUGCCAGCAGCCGCGGUAAUACGGAGGGUGCGAGCGUUAAUCGGAAUUACUGGGCGUAAAGCGCAUGCAGGUGGUUUGUUAAGUCAGAUGUGAAAGCCCGGGGCUCAACCUCGGAAUUGCAUUUGAAACUGGCAGACUAGAGUACUGUAGAGGGGGGUAGAAUUUCAGGUGUAGCGGUGAAAUGCGUAGAGAUCUGAAGGAAUACCGGUGGCGAAGGCGGCCCCCUGGACAGAUACUGACACUCAGAUGCGAAAGCGUGGGGAGCAAACAGG